rnacentral:lncRNA from 1 species
GUCGGAAUGAACAUCAGCCAUCGGAUCAGCCAUCGGCUGGAAUUUUGAUUGUUGGAUCAUGCUUAGAUUUCCUUCAUCUGAUUAGUUUUCCAUUGGCAACGAAUAGCAACCAUUGGAUCUCGAUUCCAAUCAAUUUGGGCCGUCAGAUCGUGCUUUAGGAGUGGGCCACUACUGCUAGAUAUGGUAAUGUGUAUUCUGGAUCGUCCGAUCUCGUAUCUGAAAUAAUUUCCACCAUUC